AAGACUAUACUUCACAGGAUCAUUUCUGUAGUUUGUCUUCAUUAACGGUAGUCCAAAUUGGAUGACCAAUCAGCCACGAUGAUGAGGCACAGCACCUUGUCCGGAGCGUGAAAAGGGCCCGCGAGAUGCACUCCGGUGCAACUCCCGGGCCGUUGAAGAUCGUCAGCCUCGGGCUUCCGAGGUGGUGGUCAAGGUGCAAGCUGAGUGGU